GCUAGACAUGGUGGCCCAUGCCUGUAGUCCCAGCUACUCAGAGGCUGAGGCAGGAGGAUCACUUCGGUCCAGGAGUUUGGGGCUGCAGUGAGCCAUGAUUGCACCACUGCACUCCAGCCUGGACAGAGUCCAGAGUGAGACCCUGCCUCAA
rnacentral:SRP_RNA from 2 species